rnacentral:rRNA from 1 species
GACGAACGCUGGCGGCGUGCCUAAUACAUGCAAGUCGAACGCAUUUUCUUUCACCGUAGCUUGCUACACCGAAAGAAAAUGAGUGGCGAACGGGUGAGUAACACGUGGGUAACCUGCCCAUCAGCGGGGGAUAACACUUGGAAACAGGUGCUAAUACCGCAUAAUUCCAUUUACCGCAUGGUAGAUGGAUGAAAGGCGCUUUUGCGUCACUGAUGGAUGGACCCGCGGUGCAUUAGCUAGUUGGUGGGGUAACGGCCUACCAAGGCUGCGAUGCAUAGCCGACCUGAGAGGGUGAUCGGCCACACUGGGACUGAGACACGGCCCAGACUCCUACGGGAGGCAGCAGUAGGGAAUCUUCGGCAAUGGACACAAGUCUGACCGAGCAACGCCGCGUGAGUGAAGAAGGUUUUCGGAUCGUAAAACUCUGUUGUUAGAGAAGAACAAGGAUGAGAGUGGAAAGUUCAUCCCUGGACGGUAUCUAACCAGAAAGCCACGGCUAACUACGG